rnacentral:rRNA from 1 species
UACGUAGGGAGCAAGCGUUGUCCGGAAUCAUUGGGCGUAAAGCGCGCGUAGGUGGCCCCAUAAGUCCGCUGUGAAAGUCAAAGGCUCAACCUUUGAAAGCCGAUGGAUACUGCAGGGCUAGAGUCCGGAAGAGGCGAGUGGAAUUCCUGGUGUAGCGGUGGAAUGCGCAGAUAUCAGGAGGAACACCAAUAGCGAAGGCAGCUCGCUGGGACGGUACUGACGCUAAGGCGCGAAAGCCAGGGGAGCAAACGGG